UUAAGUCAUUAAAUUUAUAAAAUUUGGCGGUAUUUUUUAAAAUUAGAGGAAUCUGUAAAUUAAUUGAUGAUCCACGAUAAGAAAUACUUAAUUAUUUAUGUAUUGCUGUUUUAAAAAUUUUAUUAAGUAGAAUUUUUGAAUUAAAAUUUAAUUUAAUUCAAGUCAAAAUAUAGUUUAUUUGAGUUAUGGAUUACAAUUUAAAUUUAAAAUUGGAUUUAAUAGUAA
rnacentral:rRNA from 1 species